rnacentral:rRNA from 1 species
GUGUCAGCAGCCGCGGUAAUACGUAGGGGGCGAGCGUUGUCCGAAUUUACUGGGCGUAAAGCGCGCGUAGGCGGUUUCUUAAGUCUGGGGUGAAAGGUUCAACGCUCAACGUGAACAGUGCCUUGGAUACUGGGAGACUUGAGUCUGGGAGGGGGUAGUGGAAUUCCUGGUGUAGCGGUGAAAUGCGUAGAUAUCAGGAGGAACACCGGUGGCGAAGGCGGCUACCUGGCCUAAGACUGACGCUGAGGUGCGAAAGCGUGGGGAGCGAACGGGAUUAGAUACCCCCGUAGUCC